GCUAAACCUCUUGCAUGACACUACAUGAGUUCUGCUGCCUGUGACUUGGAGAGCUUUCGGGUGGUAUAAAUAGAUCCAUUGUCCGUGCAGUUCAGGUGCAGGGGGGGAUUAAAAGUUCCCUGUUUCAUUAUCAGCACUGAAUGAUGAAGUUUUUGUAUCCUGUGAACAAGUUCCAGUUAAAAUUUUGAAUUAUACAGCUCUGGAAAAAAUUAAGAGAGCACUCUAUGCUGUUUUUCUUUAAAUCUGCAUUUUUAAAUCCUGGUUUAAUCGUGGCUCUACUUCCAGGUUCAAACUUUCUAAGACUGCAGCACACAAGAACAGGGUGAAGCAAAAGACACUGGGAAUGAACAGAAACCAGCCAAGCAACUUUCUAAUUCCUCCUGCCCCGUUAGCUUCUCCGGCAGAAGCCUUAUGAAUUGGAGGAUGAACUCAAGUGACCUUCAAAAGGAAGAAAUGAGAUUAAAUGCAGGGUUGGUGAACCUUUCCAAACAGGAUGAACCUUAUCUGUAGAAACUGAGCUGACGGCUGGUGAUCGCUGUGCCCUUUUUUUCUCAGCUGUGCCUUCUGGCAGGACAUCUCUUAAUCCAAAUAGGGGAGGCAAGUAGCCAGCAGGCCCUGAGAAGCAAGGCUUAAGGGUCCCACAUCAUUUCUUUCACUGUCAAAAGAGUUCUGUGCAAAGAAAUGCUCUGUAUGCACGCUAAUGAUAUUCCUCAUUGUUUAUGAUUUAUUUAUGAUGUAAGAUAUAUAUUAAUCAGGAAGCAUAUGGCACAAGGUGCCUCGGAUGGGCUCUCACGCAUGCACCCACACACUUUUUAGAGACACAAAUUUACCUAAAAGCAUGUCUUCGGACUCCAUGUGGAAAGCUGUGCAACACAGGAAGAACAUGCAAAUUCUGACAGACAUUAAUCAAAGUCAGUGCCCAUUAGGUAACAUAGGCAGCUGCCUGGGGUGUCAUCAUCUGAGGGGAUAUUGACUUAAACCACGUCACCCUUCGUGACAAUGGGCACAACCCGUGUUGCUUAAUGGGUCGACCAGCAU